rnacentral:rRNA from 1 species
GAUUAACGCUGGCGGCGUGCCUAACACAUGCAAGUCGGGCGGCAGCGCGUUUUACACUGAAUUCUGGAAGCUUCUAGUUGAAAGAGAAGAUUUAUUCAAGAAUUUUGUGUAAAAUGUCGGCGAGCGGCGGACGGCUGAGUAACGCGUGGGAACGUACCCCAAAGUGAGGGAUAACGCAUCGAAAGGUGUGCUAAUACCGCAUAUGGUCUUCGGAUUAAAGCCUUCGGGCGCUUUGGGAACGGCCUGCGUAAGAUUAGAUAGUUGGUGGGGUAAUGGCCUACCAAGUCGACGAUCUUUAACUGGUUUGAGAGGAUGAUCAGUCAGACUGGAACUGAGACACGGUCCAGACUCCUACGGGAGGCAGCAGUGAGGAAUCUUCCACAAUGGGCGAAAGCCUGAUGGAGCAACGCCGCGUGCAGGAUGAAGGCCUUCGGGUUGUAAACUGCUUUUAUAAGUGAGGAUUAUGACAGUAACUUAUGAAUAAGGAUCGGCUAACUACGUG